rnacentral:lncRNA from 1 species
AAAACGCCGCUAAAGCUCUAUUUCCCUGUAGUGAACCCUGAAUCCUCAAAUCCUCUAAAAUUUUCCCCAAUUUGAUAUCCUUAAAUCGGUUUCCCAAAAUCCCCAAAUCAAAAUACCUUUGAUUUUCGCUGAAGUCCCUUUGAUUUGCUCUGCUAAAAAUAUCAGUAGUUUUCCCAUAACCCUUAACCUCGAUCUAUUUACCAAAAUAUUUUUUCUGUGAAUCUUCUUUGUAUCUUGCAUUCGCAAAUAUUAGGAAAAGAGGUGCCCCCGAGGACAUAGUUGAGAAAAAUGUUGAAAUGAGACAAAAGAGGAUGAUAAAGAAUAGGUAAUCUGCAGCACGUUCACGAGCAAAGAAGCAUGUUGGCUUUUUUUUGUUAUUUAUCUCUAAAAUUUGGUAAUUAAUCAAUAGCAUUUGCAUUUUCAGGGGAUUCGGAAGAUACCCAAAUUGAGAUUUGUUGGGUUUUUAUUGAAUCUAGUUUGAUAUAAUUGAUAUUUUUUGAGUUUCAUACUUAGGGUUGUUUGAUUCUGCCAUAAAAACUCUCACUUACGCACGUCAUUUAGUGCUAUAUACUCUCCACAACAUUGUUCUUUCUUGUGGGGUUUUUCCAAGAACCAAAAUUAAACUAUAUUUUAUGACUAAUCCCUAAUAACUAUAACAACAUAGUGACUAGAAUGAUGCUUAAUGAUACUAUUUAGUUAAUCAUUUUUUUAUUUUAUUUGAGGUUUUUAUUGCAUUUAUGCCUAUAUACAUGUAGCUUCUGUCCUAAUUAAAACAUUGUUUGGUUUUUAAUUAGAAGCUUUUCCUCAUUUGUGUUCCUAUUUGGAUAUAUAAUUAUAGAUUUUUUUUCAUUCAUAUUGUGUUUUCUUGUGCAGAUUGAAUGGGUGGUUUAUACAUUUACUUUGGAUAACAAUUUUUUAUUUCUUUCAGGAUUUGAUUGGGUUAGAUGGUGAGGAUCUUGCUCAAUUCAAGCCUUCUGCCAACCAGAAGUAUGUAUUUAUGGUUUUUUUUUAUAUAUUAAUCCCAUUACUAUAAUGAUUUCAGACUAGUUAUAUAUAUAAUCAUGAUAUACCUAAAUGCAGUAGCAAUAUUAAAACUUACAUAUUUUUAUAUGUAAUGUUGCGGAAGCGACGAUAAUAUUAAUAACAAUAUUAUCAGAAAUAUUUAGAUAAUUAUUAUGCCAACAAUUAUACUAAGAAAAUUCCCAGUUAAAUUGGAGGGGUCACAAAUGGUCCCGCUUAAAACCCAACAACUAGACAGAACUCACUUAGAUAUUUAUAGCAAUAAUAACUAAAUAAAUAUAACCAACAUAAAGCUAUUAAAUAUAAGCAAACAAAUAAGAAAUAAAAUACCAGAGAUUUAACGAGGUUCGGCCAAUUUAGCUUACGUCCUCGGACACUACCAAAUUAAUAUUUCUUCUAGAAAUAUUACAAAGGAGAAGAUUUUGGGAUGAUACAACCAAAGGGGGAGGGGUUCUAUAUAUAACAAACCAAACCCCCUCCCUUUCUAUCUUUUCCUAAUGUGGGAUAUUGUCAAUAUUCAACAAAUCUCCACCUUGGCGAUAUUCCACAUCUUCGAACAUCUUCUCAUAACACUAACUUCAAUAGUGUCUUCAAAUUUGCAACCAAUCGCCUUAUUCCCUUUUGGUAGUUGUGCCAGCUUCCACGUCUUAUUUUUCUCUAGAGAUUGCAUUUCCUCUUCCAUUGCACCUAACCAUCUAUUAUUCUCUAAACUCUGAAUGGCUUUGGUGUAAGUAGAUGGAAUAUUAUCAACAACUGGAAGUGCAUAAGCUACCAUGUCAGUGAAACGAGCAGGUUUUCUGAAUUUCUCGUCUCUGCCUUCUGACUGCAAUUGGCUCUGAUUGCUGUUGAGGUUCUUGGGUAGAAACCUCUUCCUCAUCUGACUCUGCAUCUGCCAAUGAAGAAUCACUAGUGGUACCUUCUGCUGGAAUUACCACACUCUGCUCAAACUCCACCUGCUGCGGAGUACAUUCCACCUGCUGCGAAGUACUACUCACUCCUUCUGGAUUUACCUUAUUCAACAUGGCAGAUUCAUGAAAGGUAACAUCCCUACUGAUUAUCGUCUUCUUUGCCUCUAGACACCACAAACGAUAUCCCUUAACACCAGCAUUGAAGCCCAUGAAUAGAGCCUUCUUUGCUCUUGGAUCUAACUUUGAUUCUUUCACAUGAUAAUAUGCAAUAGAACCAAAAAUGCGCAAGGUGUCAUAAUCAGUAGCAGGUUUUCCAUACCAUUUCUCCAAAGGAGUCUAGCCAUUUAUAGCAGAUGAUGGCAAAUGAUUGAUGAGAUGUUGAGCGUACGUCACAGCCUCAGUCCAAAACUUUCUAUCUAAUCCAGCAUUAGAUAACAUACAUUGAACUUUCUCCACAAGCGUUCGAUUCAUACGCUCUGCCACCCCAUUCUGUUGCGGUGUUCCACCUACGGUGAAGUGCCUUACUAUGCCACAAUCUUGGCAUAUCUUCAGGAAUGGAUCGCUUUUAUAUUCUCCACCGUUGUCUGAUCGGAGAACCUUAAUCUUCCUUCCUGUCUGAUUUUCAACUUUAGUUUUCCACUUAAGGAAAACUUCAAGCACCUCAUCUUUGUUCUUCAUAGGAAACACCCAAACUCGUCUGGAAAAAUCAUCAAUAAAGGUGACAAAAUAACGUCUUCCUCCAAGUGAUGGAGUCUUAGACGGUCCCCAUACAUCAGAAUGCACAUAAUCCAGAAUACCUUUAGUAUUGUGAAUCCCAGUGCCAAAUUUCACCCUUCGUUGUUUUCCCAGAACACAAUGCUCGCAAAAUUCAAGUUUGCAAGUCUUUGUACCUUUCAAUAAUCCUUGCUUGGCUAGAGUUUGCAAGGAUUUUUCACCAGCAUGGCCCAAACGCAUAUGCCACAGCUGUGUUGCCUCAGCGUCCUUCUUGGUACUCGAAAUUGCUGCUGCUGUUGUCCCGACCACUGUACUACCUUGGUAGUAAUACAGAUUGUUCUUUCUUAUGCCUUUCAACAUCACCAAUGCUCCUAAAGUUGCUUUAAGAACUCCAUCUCGUAUUGUCACAACUAGGCCUUUAGAUUCUAACGACCCCAAAGAGAUGAGAUUCUUCUUCAACUUUGGGACAUAUCGUACAUCCCGCAAAAUUCUAGUAGAUCCAUCAUGACUCCUCAGUUUAAUUGAACCUAUCCCGGCUAUUUUACAUGUGUUAUCAUUACCCAUGUAAACAACCCCUUCAUCUAGUUUUUGAAAUUCAAAGAACCAUUCCCGAAUGGGACACAUAUGAUAGGAACAACCAGAAUCCAUGAUCCACUCAUCUGCAUAUAAUGUUGAAGAUGUCAUACUAAGAGAAAAGUCUGACUCUGCUUCACUAUGGCAUUCUGCAACAUUUGCAUCUUGCGGAGUCUUCCCUUUUUUCUUCAAUUUUGGACAAUCUUUCUUCCAAUGUCCUUUUUCUUUGCAAAAGGAGCAUUCAUCUUUGGCAACAGCUCGACCUUUGGACUUUCUUCUCUUCCCAUUAGACUGACUUUGCUGACGACCUCUUGUUACCAAUGCUUCCACUGCUGCUUCACCUGAACCUUUCAACUUAUCCUUUCGGCGUAGUUCAUAGCUAUACAAUGCAGCAGUAACUUCAUUGAAAGUUACUUCCGAUUUUCCAUGAAGUAGAGUAGUUUCAAGGUACUCAAACUCCUCAGGAAGCGAUCCUAACAACAUUAACGCCAAGUCUUCGUCUUCAAAAGUCACAUCCAAAUUCAACAAAUCAGCCACCAGCUGAUUAAAAUUGGUAAUGUGCUCGUUCAUCAUGGUACCAGGAACAUAAUUGAAACGAAACAGUCUUUUCUUCAUAUGCAACUUAUUUUGACUGUUCUUCUUCAAGAAUUUCUCCUCCAAUGCUUUCCACAAUUUACUUGCAGAAGUCUCUUUACUGAAUGUAUACUUCUGCUCUCUGGAAAGACAUGAUCGAAUUGUACCACAUGCCAAUCGGUUGAUGGUCUUCCAUUCUUUAUCAUCAACCCCUUCUGGUUUUUCUUCCUCAAUGGCAAUAUCUAGACCCUGUUGAAAGAGGGCAUCUAGAAGCUCACUUUGCCACAUGCCGAAAUGACCUGUUCCAUCAAAAAUUUCCACUACAAAUCUCGUAUUUGCAGUUCCAAUCCUCGGCAAAAUGUACGAAGUGGAAGUUGUUGAUAUGGAUGGUUUUUCUUCUGUCAUUUUUGCCAUAGCUUCUACUUAAUAGCCACCAAAUGCAGAAUACCCACAAGCUUUAGGAAAUGUUUCUGAUGUGUAAGAUCAGACUAAGCUGCAAACACAGAGCAUACUACAAAACCUUGGCUCUGAUACCAAUUGUGCGGAAGCGACGAUAAUAUUAAUAACAAUAUUAUCAGAAAUAUUUAGAUAAUUAUUAUGCCAACAAUUAUACUAAGAAAAUUCCCAGUUAAAUUGGAGGGGUCACAAAUGGUCCCGCUUAAAACCCAACAACUAGACAGAACUCACUUAGAUAUUUAUAGCAAUAAUAACUAAAUAAAUAUAACCAACAUAAAGCUAUUAAAUAUAAGCAAACAAAUAAGAAAUAAAAUACCAGAGAUUUAACGAGGUUCGACCAAUUUAGCUUACGUCCUCGGACACUACCAAAUUAAUAUUUCUUCUAGAAAUAUUAUAAAGGAGAAGAUUUUGGGAUGAUACAACCAAAGGGGGAGGGGUUCUAUAUAUAACAAACCAAACCCCCUCCCUUUCUAUCUUUUCCUAAUGUGGGAUAUUGUCAAUAUUCAACAUGUAAUUCAUGAUUCUUGUUCAUAAUCUAAUUUCAGAUUGGAAAAUGAAAGUGCGGCGACCUAACUGAUUUGUUAAUUUGUAGUGCUAUUUCCGUACAAUGAACUUUAAACUGGAAAAG